rnacentral:tRNA from 1 species
UUAAUCAAAGCUUUGAUAAGCAAAACAUUGUUAAUGUUUAGAAGGGGACCCCCCCUCCCCUGAUUAAU